rnacentral:rRNA from 2 species
UACGAAGGGGGCUAGCGUUGCUCGGAAUUACUGGGCGUAAAGGGCGCGUAGGCGGAUGUUUAAGUCGGGGGUGAAAGCCCGGGGCUCAACCUCGGAAUUGCCUUCGAUACUGGACAUCUUGAGUACGGGAGAGGUGAGUGGAACUCCGAGUGUAGAGGUGAAAUUCGUAGAUAUUCGGAAGAACACCAGUGGCGAAGGCGACUCACUGGCCCGUUACUGACGCUGAGGCGCGAAAGCGUGGGGAGCAAACAGG